ACUCGUAUAUCGUAUAGUGUUCCAUUCCAUUUGAUUAAUUCCACUCAAGUGCUCUCUCUCUCUCCUGCAUCUUCCUGUCUUAGUCUCUCUCUCCCUCCAUCGUCUAUCUCUUCCUCUAGCCUUUGGAGAUCUGGAAAAUCACUAACUCGCUCGCAUAAUCGCUCCGUUUUAUGUUGAAGAUUGGAGCAUAGUAGGCGUCGAAUUGAGAUACAUUGAAAGAACUGCUUUCGAACAACCAUUAACAAGUGGUGUGGCAUAUGCUGUGAAAGUGCUCCAUUUUGAAAGAGAAUAAUUUGAGAAGCAGCAUGGCUGGACUGUUGAACAAGAACCUAUUUAUAAGUAUGAUUAUGCCGUGGAAAAGCUGGAGCCUUCUCUAGUUCAAGACGAAUAUGCCAAUGAUAUUUACACAAGAUACCAUUUCUCAUGUUAUGUCGAUGUGCUUUCUAGGAAGCCUAGCUCUAAAGUCCAUGUACAUUAGAAGGGAGACAUCGAUGAGCAUAAGGUGAAGGGGCUGCUAAAAUUGGAAGGGGGUUGCCAGUGAGCACAAGUUGAAAAGGGUUGUUGAAAUGGGAAAAGGGAAGGGUUUGGAGGAGAUGAAUUUUAGAAGUAUAAAUCUAUGUAAUCUAAAUAUGACUCCCUCCGUUUUUAAA